UACUCCUACGGGAGGCAGCAGUGAGGAAUAUUGGUCAAUGGGCGAGAGCCUGAACCAGCCAAGUAGCGUGCGGGAUGAAGGCCCUUGUGGUCGUAAACCGCUUUUAUCAGUGAAUAAAGUGCACCACGUGUGGUGUCAUUGCAGGUAGCUGAAGAAAAAGGACCGGCUAAUUCCGUGCCAGCAGCCGCGGUAAUACGGAAGGUCCGGGCGUUAUCCGGAAUUAUUGGGUUUAAAGGGAGCGCAGGCGGGAGUAUAAGUCAGCUGUUAAAUAUCAGAGCCCAACUCUGUUAUGCAGUUGAAACUAUAUUUCUUGAGUACGCACAGGGAUGGUGGAAUUCAGGGUGUAGCGGUGAAAUGCUUAGAUAUCCUGAAGAACUCCGAUCGCGAAGGCAGCCAUCCGGAGCGUAACUGACGCUGAGGCUCGAAGGUGCGGGUAUCGAACAGGAUUAGAUACCCUGGUAGUCCGCACGGUAAACGAUGAAUACUCGCAGUUCGGCCGUUUAGGUCGAGUUGUCCAGCGAAAGCGUUAAGUAUUCCACCUGGGGAGUACGCCGGCAACGGUGAAACUCAAAGGAAUUGACGGA
rnacentral:rRNA from 1 species